AGUGAACGCUGGCGGUAGGCCUAACACAUGCAAGUCGAACGGCAGCACAGUAAGAGCUUGCUCUUACGGGUGGCGAGUGGCGGACGGGUGAGGAAUACAUCGGAAUCUACUUUUUCGUGGGGGAUAACGUAGGGAAACUUACGCUAAUACCGCAUACGACCUACGGGUGAAAGCAGGGGAUCUUCGGACCUUGCGCGAUUGAAUGAGCCGAUGUCGGAUUAGCUAGUUGGCGGGGUAAAGGCCCACCAAGGCGACGAUCCGUAGCUGGUCUGAGAGGAUGAUCGGCCACACUGGAACUUGGACACGGUCCAGACUCCUACGGGAGGCAGCAGUGGGGAAUAUUGGACAAUGGGCGCAAGCCUGAUCCAGCCAUACCGCGUGAGUGAAGAAGGCCUUCGUGUUGUAAAGCCCUUUUGUUGGGAAAGAAAGGCAGCAGGUUAAUACCCCGCUGUUCUGACGGUACCCAAAGAAUAAGCACCGGCUAACUUCGUG
rnacentral:rRNA from 1 species